CUGAUUUGCUGCUAAAGGAACAUUUCUUUUUAUUAUCAACAUUGAAAACAGUUGUUCUCCUUCAUAUUUUUGUGGAAACCAUGAUAUUUUUUUUCCCCCUCAGGAUUCUUUGAAAAACAUUUAUUCGAAAUGGGAAACCUUUUGUAACAUUGUAAAUGUCUUUGCUGUCAGUUUUGAUCAAUUUAACGCAUCCUUGCUAAAUAAAACCUAGAAAAAAAUUGAAAAAAAAAAGAGCUCAAAUUUGAAGAUAUAUUUUAUAUAAAAGAUAUAUUUUUUCUUAUUUAUUUACUUAUUUUAACAUUACCCAGUACUCACAAAUGACUGGAAAUUAGUCAUUAAUUCAUGGAAUGUUUGGCAUAAAAAAUUUGGAAAAUUCUUUAAAGAAUAUGUAUUUUUCUAGAUGUGCUCUGGAAAUAAUUUUUUUUUUUUUUUUUUUUUAGCUACUUAGUUUGUGAUUUUUCUGAAGCUUCCCGAAGACUUUUUAUCUCUUCUAUGUGACCAUUGUGUUUGCUGAAGCGUUUGCUCUGAUCUGCACAGAUUCCAGCAUGGAGCUCACGGUUGGGAUCGGGCCAUGCAGUCCCAGAGCACCGCUUACCAGCAGAACCAGGAGCGAGGACGAGGAGGGUGGAGACCCCCUCACAACCAGCAGGACAGCCGCAGAGGAGGACAUCAGCAGGGGUUUGGACAGGGUUAUGGGUUACCUCCACCGUCACGACGCUACAACUGGAACUGAACUCUCAGCCUUAUAUGAAAGAAGGCUUCUUAUUUUCUUUUCCAAGUAAACAUUGUCUUUUUUUGGGCUGUUGAUUUGUAAGGGUUUUUUUUUUUUUUUCUUGUUUUACUGACAAAAUGUUCUUAUGUACUGAUUUUUAAGAAUAUGCCUGUAAAACUUAUGAAAUACACACAUGAGACAAGACUGCUGAGUUUUGCUAUUUUCUUUGUGUUUGUGUUUUAUUAGGUAUUCAUUAGAUUUCGAUUUUAAUCAUUUAUUUUAAUGCAGAUCUAUUUAUAAACUCCCAAUGCAUAGCUAUGGUGAGCUGAGUCAGUAUUUAAUUUAAUAGUGUAUUUUAAUCUUUAAAUGAAUAUUCAUAGUUUUUCUCUUGGCAAUUAUAGAUGCAGGUGGAAAUUUUUCAGAGUCUGUUUAAAAUGAGUCUUGAAUUAAUCAAUGGAUUAAACGAUAAUACGGAGUCGACUGGAAUGUAUGAAAAUGACCAACACAGUAAAUCUGCUAUUUUAAAAAAGCUUUCCUUUUAUUUUUGACCUAUCAGAUUUUUAUUGUUUUUGUUUUGUUUAAAUCAAAGUAAAAUCGACCAAUGCAAAAAUAAAGGUGAAUAUACACACA
ensembl:lncRNA